UACGUAGGGUGCAAGCGUUUAAUCGGAAUUACUGGGCGUAAAGCGUGCGCAGGCGGUUUUGUAAGUCUGUCGUGAAAUCCCCGGGCUCAACCUGGGAAUGGCGAUGGAGACUGCAAGGCUAGAGUUUGGCAGAGGGGGGGUAGAAUUCCACGUGUAGCAGUGAAAUGCGUAGAUAUGUGGAGGAACACCGAUGGCGAAGGCAGCCCCCUGGGUCAAGAUUGACGCUCAUGCACGAAAGCGUGGGGAGCAAACAGG
rnacentral:rRNA from 1 species